UACGGAGGGUGCGAGCGUUGUCCGGAAUCACUGGGCGUAAAGGGCGCGUAGGUGGCACGGGUAGUCGUCGGUGAAAGCUCAGGGCUCAACCCUGAGUCGGCCGGUGAUACUCCCGAGCUCGAGUGUGGCAGAGGGGGGUGGAAUUCCGCGUGUAGCAGUGAAAUGCGUAGAGAUGCGGAGGAACACCGAUGGCGAAGGCAGCCCCCUGGGCUGACACUGACGCUCAGGCACGAAAGCGUGGGGAGCAAACAGG
rnacentral:rRNA from 1 species